rnacentral:rRNA from 1 species
AUCCCAGCUCCAAUAGCGUAUAUUAAAGUUGUUGCAGUUAAAAAGCUCGUAGUUGAACUUCAGGCUUGGUUGGGCGGUCCGCCUCACGGCGUGUACUGUCUGACUGGGUCUUACCUCUUGGUGAGCCAGCGUGGCCUUUAUUGGUUGCGUUGGGGAACCAGGACUUUUACCUUGAGAAAAUUAGAGUGUUCAAAGCAGGCCUAUGUCCGAAUACAUUAGCAUGGAAUAAUAAAAUAGGACGUGCGAUCCUAUUUUGUUGGUUUCUAGAGUCGCCGUAAUGAUUAAUAGGGAUAGUUGGGGGCAUUGGUAUUGAGUCGCUAGAGGUGAAAUUCUUGGAUUGACUCAAGACCAACUACUGCGAAAGCAUUUGCCAAGGAUGUUUUCAUCG